rnacentral:snRNA from 3 species
GUUCCCUUCGGGAACAUCCGAUAAAAUUGAAACGACAAAGGUUAGCGUAGCCCAUACGCAAGCAUGACACGCACAAAUUGAGAAACCACAUGUAU